AAGACCUACUUAGCAUUUAGUGGAAAUGCUCAAAGGAUGAUCACAGGGUGCUUCUUUUAAGUAAAUGGAACAGAACUGAUUUUUGAUGAUAUAUAUUUCUUGGUGGGUAUGCUUUUCUGGUUUCCAUGGGAUGAAGAGGAUGAAGAAUUCUCCAAGAUACCAAGAAGAGAAAUGCAAAGAAAAGAAAGAAUGAGUACAAGCCAGAUGGGCUUUUUAAAAAGUCAGCUGAAGAAAGCUAUAGGCCAUAGAAAGGUUGUAUAGAAAGGCCAUAGCUGACCUUCAUAUAGGUGAUAUUCCAGGAAGAGGCUAUCCUUGUCAGAGCUACAGAUAUAGUAGCGUGUUUGUCCGGAACCUCACUGCUCCUUUUUGAGAGUAUCCGCUCUGUUCAGAGUGCCCUCUGGAAGUCGGCAGGAGCUGGACAACACCAACUUCUCACGGGUGCUGUGGAGCAUGCUGACUGGCAUAGGAACUGCAGCUCCUUAGAGGAGGGAACCAGCCGAGGGGCAGCAUCUGGCUGCUGCGAUGGGUAGAGCCACAUGGAUCAUUCCCUGUCAUUUGCAACACGGAUCUGUCCACUCGUGGCUGAAGUAACAAGUCUCUGUUCUCCUCUCCAGGAAACAGCUUUCAGACAGUGACUCUUCUUCCUUACCUACUGUUUUAAAGCACAAAUGAUGGGUGGAUUUGCUUUCCGGCUUCAGAGCCAAUCACCACGCCAAACAACUCACGAAGUGUGCAGAUGAUGUUUAGGGAAGGCAGGUGAGGAAUGGUAACAAGUUAAUCUUAUGCAAAUAUGUGGCAACCGUCUUUAUUGUCUUACUUGAGCUCUGAAGCUUGAUCCUCUUCCAUUCAAGUAAAUGGAGGAAUCCAGGUGACUUUAAUGGAAAAGAACUGAGCCCCUUUUUCCCCACAAUAAACAAAGGAUUUUUUGUGUGCUUUUACCUGAGAUACACACUAACAUGCAUGCUGCAUUUCUGUGAUUCUGCUACUCAGCACAGGUCAUGGGAAAAACACACUCUUAGUUCUCCCUUUUGUGAGGAACAAACAUACACAAUCACAGCUUUGUAAUCAAGAUUGUGAAAUGAGGGCAGGCGGUGCACCUGCAGGAAGUUUCAGUAGUUGAUGGCUUAAGAUGUUCAUAAUACUUGCCUGUAUGUGUAUGUUGAUUUUCCUUUCAAACUCAGGAAAUAAAGGUGAGAAUCAUCCAGCCAAAUACGUCGAAUGAGAGACAAUAUCAGUAUAAAUAGGUCUUGCCCUAAAAACGUCUCCAUUGACUGUAAGGGCAGCCCAGGUCUGUUGUCAGAGAUGUCAGUGAAAUGAAUUCCACUCCAUAUGUGGAAAUGGGGUAAUUACAUGCCUAUAGUUACCAUUUAUGAAUUUCAGAGUUCCCUUGAAAACUCGAAUAGAGUUUUGCCAUACAUCAUUAAAACUCAACACCAAACAGGAGGAAGCCUCAUUUUAUUUCCCUCCUAGUGUGGAUUGUUUUUUUUCUCUUUGGAAUCUGCUUAUCCAAACCUAGUAUAAAUGAUUCAUCUCUAGUGCAACUGAAAAGUCACUGCAAAUAGCACCAGAGAGUAAUUUCAUAUCUUCAAAACAACUCUGUAGCACCAAGUUGUCUACAUUAUGUGUUUCUUAGGGGUGCUGCUGCUAUGCAGAUUUUUCAGUGCCACCACUUACUCCAAGUUACCAAAAAUUAGUGUUAUUCUAUACUACUAACAUAUGACUGAUAUAUACUUUUUUCCAAGAACUGACAGAGUUUACAUUUGCUUUAUUAUUCAGUUGUAAUUGUGAGAAAAAUUAUUGGUUAAACAAGAUAAACAGAUCCCUAGCCUCUCAACCAUCCUCUUCCCCAAAAUAAUAAACAAAAAUGUGACAUUUGCUCCAAAUUAAGGAGGGAUUUGGGGUGGAAGGCUCUUGUCAAAAUAUGAGCAGCAUCUGACUGAACAUAGUUUGUCUCCUAGACUGCAGCUAAAAUGCAAAAUACCAGAGGAUUUAGAAAAUGGGGCAAACAUUGGUUAGAUCGGCUUUCUUACUAGUGACAAAGUAUCUUUUGCCCAAUGUGAUUAAUCUCUGAGAGUGGUAUUUAAAACAAGUCGUUUUGCAGUCCACUUGGGCCUAACAAUUAAUGUUACUUGACCAUUAGUGACAGUUGAAACUUUAAAGGGCUGUAGGCUCAGAUGUCGGAGCUGAACAAUGCUUUUUUAGUUGCAGGAAUGUUACUGGAGGAAGAAAAUACCUAACUGGUAACCACUGGAACUCAAUCUCCCAUUGCCGUAGCAACAGGCAGUUGUGCUCAGAAAUUAUGAUGUGCCAUUUUCAAAAUCAGCCUACAACGUAUUUGAAACUAUUACCAGCUGAUCACAUGAAGAAUUACGGGAGAGAAGAGAGAAGGACACUGAAGUAGUUCAAGUGCUAAGACAGCAACCAAAACGACAGCUCGAGCCAGGUGGUUUGUCAGCCCCCCAUGCAUCCUUUACAAAGCUCUUGUGCAAAGCAGUCAGAGCUGUCGUAGCCAGUUCUGCGCAGAGCUACUCCCCACUCUGCACGCUGGUCUCCUCUGCCUAGCACAGGGGUCUGACACGGCUGGAAAGAUGUCACCGUGAGGAUAUUGCUGGAAGAAGGAUGGCAGAGGCUGGAAACCAGCGGGGUUUGCAAACUGUACUGUGCCUACACAUAGGCCAUGUGCCUGUCGCUCGACCAACAAGACAGACACUGCUAGUUUAGCAGACCUGGGGUCAUCACAGGAGCUUCAAAAGUACCAAGAGAGCAUGAGCAGAAGGAAGUGUUGGCUCUGGGCUGCUUGGGUAAGGGGAGCAUUAAUCAUGUUUUUUGAGUCUGAGAUGCAUCAACUUGAUGUUAUUUUGGGGAUCUCUGGCAGUGCUCUUGUGUCGCGUUUCACACCAGACAUGACUGUAGGGCAGCAGAGGGCUUAAUUCCACGGAGUCGAGCACGGUGAUGUGUUACUUGCUCGACAUACUAGGGGCAAGAACGCCACUGCCUACGAAAUUAAUUCGGUUUAUCAGCAUGGCUAGUGCUUUCGUGCAGGCAGCAGCAUCUUGCCCAGCAUCAGGGAGCGUCUGCCUAGCGUGGGCAGGUAACACUGGUGGCACUCGCUGGUCAGAGUGCCGGCCUUGCCCGAGGAGGUGCGGGUGAGCUGGGGAGAGCCGGGGUACGCCCUGCACGGCAGCGUGCGCCUAAGGGACCGCCGCGCUGGCGAAGCGUGGUGUUUGCGCUGUGUCAGGUUUUGUGCUGUCACUCGGAUACGCACCUGACUCUGCCGUCUUUGAUGUUUAACUUCUGCAAAGGAACGUGACAAGGUACUUCCGCCCGGCCUCUUGCUUCUUCCUGGAGCAGGGAAGGAAGGAAAGCAUUUCGGGCAGGGAUAGGCGCUCCGCCGGGCGAGUGCCUCCCCGACCGAGUCCGUACGUCAGGAGGCACCCUACAAGCCCAGUGGGCACGAGGAGAAGGGGGGCGCGUGGACGGCGCGUCCUGCCCGCCGGAGCAGCACUGCGUCCCCACGCGUGCUUUGCUCUUCCUGCAAACAACUCUGCUCCGCCAGGGGAGUUACCACGCAGCGGUAAGUUCUUC